rnacentral:lncRNA from 12 species
GUCGGAGUGCCACGGUGACAGGACAGGCUGUGUCCCUCUGCCUGUCCACAGUGCCAGCUCUGGGUCUGGUGAUGCCACUGCUGUCCUUAGGAGGGACAGAAAGGAAUCUGGAGGGGGAGAAGUGGGCUGCUGAUGAUCCAGAGCUGCAGAAAGCUCCCUCAGUUUUCAGCAUACGCUGGGAGAGUGAGGAACAGAUGCAACUCCUUCC